GGACCUCUCGCCCCCGCCUUCUCCGGCGCCGUUCGCCGCCCGCGGUUUGCAGCCCAUCGCGCCCUUCGCCGCGGGACAGCCGGAGCCGCCGCCCGUCGCGCACUGCGGGAGCCGCCGCAGGUUGUCGCUUGUCGCGCCCUUCGCCGUGGGAGAGCCGGAGCCACCGCCCGUCGCGCGCCGGAGGAGCCACCGCAGGUCGCCGCGGGAGAGCCGGGGCCGCCGCGAUCGUGAGCAGCCGCCCGCCCAUCCUCCAUCCCUACGCGGGCGCACCUUCCUUCAGCUCCUCCUCGCGCCGCCCCUCUCCUUUGCCCCGGCCGCCAAGACCCAGCGGUCGCUUCACCGGGUUGCGGCGCCGCCCCGCCCGAUAGCCUCCCAGCGGCCGCCUGCCGCCAUCCGCGCAGACUGCUUCACCGACGCCCGCGGCCGCUUCACCAGGCCACGGCGUCGCCGGCCCAUCCCUGUGUGUGCAACGGCUGAAAAUUUCGAUCUGCGAUGGUGCGCGGAGAUCAAGCGAUGACGGCAACAGCGUCGAGCUUUGCAGGUAUUGAUCCCCCCCUCCCCUUCCCCAGCAAUGCUUGAAUUGGACUGCAUGAAUGAAUUUGCUGGCACGAGUAUGCAAGAUAGAAAAAUAAGUGAAUCUUUUGAUGUUGCCCCCUCCGCAUUAGUAUGGAAUUCAGAAAUUAUCUUGUUAUCUUUGCCCACUAGCAUUUUCUAGACUAAUAAUGGUAGUGCAGAUUUCAGCUAGAGCUUGCAGAGUUCUAAAAUAUGUUGACCAAAUCGUUUCUUCAAAACCUGGUUCACAAAUACUAUGAUCUUGCUACUAGCUUCUAUGAGUGUGGCUGGACUGAAUCCUUCCACUUUGCUCAUAGCAUUUUAGGUGGAAUGGUGAACCUUGAAGCGGAAGUACCAAACGGUACGAGCACUUUCUGGCCCUAUGGCUUGAGUUGAAGCCUGGGAUGAAGGUCGUUUUUCUUAUGAAGAUCGAAUAACCCAUGGUUUUGGAUGUCAGGUAUGGAAUAGGCAGGCCAUUAAGAGAAAUUCCAAGAUUUAGGUUUAAUUCCUGUUUCGCGCUUUCACCUCUCUUCAUACGUGUGAAUACUGAUGUGUUCGGGUUUAGAAAUUCUCAUAUGCAUGAUUAAUGCAACUGAAGUGAUUCAUGUUUUUCUUACUUUCAACUGAAAACUUGUGGGGGCAUGAUUUUGAGGAGGCGAUCCAGAGCACCAAUAAGUUAGAGAAGUUCGACCUCAACCUUUCCAGGAAUUAAUCUAUUUUGGAACGGAGCUCCACCUCAGUUACUGAUUGAACAACAACGACUACCAAAUAACUAGGGAAAGGUCGCCACCAAGAACGGGUCACUGAUAGUAUCAACAUGGAGGCGUGCCUUAGCCUGGAGCCCAGCAAGAAGAUCAUCGGGAGCUUCGGGACAUUUGAGACGGCCGUUCUCCAUGUGGCCAACGCCAUCCAGCUGCAGGCAUUGCGCCGGCCUCGGCAGGAGUCGGUCAAGCCCAAUUGUAGCAUCUAUUGACCAAUGCAAGCUCCAUCAGGAUGUGCGUAGUGUCCAUAAGUUCCCUUUUGGCCAGUACAUGGAGAAAAAAAACAUGGAAUGUACAACAAUCCUACAUGAAACAUUCUGAACAAAGUCAUAUUGAGCUACCCCUAGAAAUUUUUGCAGCUUCUGUGAACUCUUGUUUUAUGUUCUAUAGGGCCAACUUGCAUUUUCACGUCAAGCAUGGCUGAUUAUUAGAGGGCAAGGAAAGAUGGAGUAGCAGAAGCAUUGCUUACGACGAGUUCAUCGGGUCAACAGUGCACAUUAACAAGCAUUGCCUGCUGUCUGCCUUCACCUACUUUGACGAGGAUGACAGCGGGUACAUCACCGUUGACCGCUGGAAGAGGUGUGCUGGGAGUACAACACAAGCUGACCGGCAUCGUGACAUCGCCAGGGAGGUCGGCACUGACAACAUGCGAUGUUCAAAUUGACUAUGGAGAGUAUAUGACAACUCAUGCAGGUUCGUAAUGACUUGAAGAAAGCAUAUGAGAAGCGAGUAUGGGAGCUUUAAUAUUAGAGCAACAGGGGAGGAGCAAAUGAUUGAAGGGCUAUCAGCCGUGUAAAAGAAAGCUGAGGAUAACGUCAACAGGUGGAAAACUAUAUUUGGUUGACAUAAUAACACUAGCAAAGGUGAAUAACAAUGUAACAUUAUCUUUUCAUUAGUUGAUCCAUUCAACUUUUGUUUGAUAUGACUGGCAUGAUAUUUGGAUAGGAAAGUUAUUUGUUAACUCCAUAUCAUUUUUAUGUGCAAGCUAAUAAUUAUGCACUGUGCAUUUGCCUGCAA